rnacentral:rRNA from 1 species
UACGUAGGUGGCAAGCGUUGUCCGGAUUUAUUGGGCGUAAAGCGAGCGCAGGCGGUUCCUUAAGUCGGAUGUUAAAGCCCCCGGCUCAACCGGGGAAGGUCAUUGGAAACUGGGGAACUUGAGUGCAGAAGAGGAGAGUGGAAUUCCAAGUGUAGCGGUGAAAUGCGUAGGUAUAUGGAGGAACACCAGUGGCGAAAGCGACUCUCUGGUCUGUAACUGACGCUGAGGCUCGAAAGCGUGGGGAGCAAACAGG